rnacentral:rRNA from 1 species
GACGAACGCUGGCGGCGUGCCUAAUACAUGCAAGUCGAACGCAGUGGGGACGGGUGAGUAACACGUGGGUAACCUCCCAUCAGAGGGGAUAACACUUGGAAACAGGUGCUAAACCGAUACUGAUGGAUGGACCCGCGGUGCAUUAGCUAGUUGGUGAGGUAACGGCUCACCAAGGCCAGGAUGCAUAGCCCGCCGUGGAGGGUGAUCGGCCACACUGGGACUGAGACACGGCCCAGACUCCUACGGGAGGCCGCAGUAGGGAUUCUUCGGCAAUGAACGAAAGUCUUACCGAGCAACGCCGCGUAAGUGAAGAAGGUUUUCGGAUCGUAAAACUUUGUGGUUAGAGAAGCGGUAUCUAACCAGAUAGCCACGGCUAACUACGUGCCAGCAGCCGCGGUAAUAC